rnacentral:rRNA from 1 species
GUCUACGACCAUGCCACCCUGAACGUGCCUGAUCUCAUCUGAUCUCAGAAGCUAAGCAGGGUCGGGCCUGGUUAGUACUUGGAUGAGAGAUCACCUAAGAAUGCCAGGUGCUGUAGCCA